GGGGGCUCCAUUAUCAUAAUCUGGACAUUGACAAUUACCUAUAAUUUGCAAAGAUGCGCUUGGUUCUUGAUUGCAGAGAGGGCUCUCUCUUUUUUUUUUUUUUUUUCCUCGAGCUCGCCAUCACUAAACAGUGACAGUAAUAACAGCUAAUUUUGCAGGCAAUAUAUAUAAGAGCUUACCAGGGUGUGCAAACACACUUUCCCACCUGGAUUUUGCGUAUUCAUCCAGCAGCGGCGAAGCCGCGCAGCGCGGGCGCCUUUUCUUUUUCUUUCUCUUUCGGUGGUGGACAGAAAGCGGAGGAAGAGGAAGCUUCUGGUCUCCAUCCUGUCCCCUCUUCCCCUCCUCUCCAUGUCCCUCUUCAUAUCCACUCCACAUCAACUCUAACCUCCACCCCCCCAUACCUCUCGCCAUUUUUUCCCUUCCUUCCCUCACCCCUUUCUCACCCCCCCAUAGGUACGCCUCCAUCCACUCUUGGCAGCCACAUCUCUUCCUAACUGCCUCCCUCCUCCUCCGCCUGCCUGGCUGGCCCACCCCUCUCCCUGGUUGGUUUCCACAGCUGUGGUGAGUGAGGGGCAGAUGACCGGAGAAUUGGCCCCUGGGAGAGCGCUGAGCCAUCCUGGUGCUAUUAGGCUCGUGGCUAAUAAUAGGUGUUUCAGACCAGGGGAAGAUCAAUCAGGGGGAAUCAUGGGGAAUGUUCAGAGCAGCGCUUUUUACACAUCGGCCCAGAUGGAUGAAAUUACACUUGUCAGUUUUUAGUUGCAUUACUCCCAAAUUGGUUGUCUGCUCUUUUUUUUUCUCUUCCUCUCUCCCUCACAAUCCCUCUUCUCUCCUUUCUCUCUCUUUGCCCCCCAUUCAUGUGUCAGUGGCCUGCUAAAAGGAUUCGCCGGUGAAAUCCCUGUCAUUUUUGUCUUUUGCCUGUUUAGCCCUCAGCCGGCAACAACUCCAUCGCCUUGCAUGUAUGCACUUAGAAAACAUCAAACUCACGUCUUGGGGGCUCGGCCAAUUUCCAUGUUAAAGCCAGAGUCUGCCGCUGACAUUCCGUGUGCGCUCUGCAUGCAUAAUAAAGCCAUUUGGUGUCGUCACUGUCAAACACCCAGAGGACAAUCACAGAAAGGAGCAGAUGAAGAGAAAAAUUGAUUUGCGCCAAUGUUAACCGUUUCUUAAACAAGGAGUUGCUUCGUGUCUUGAUAGAUACAGGAUUCAAAGUGAGGCGAGGCAUUUACUCUGAUGACAGAGUUUCAUUUGAGGUCCACAAAAAUGUUUAAAGCCAAUUGUAAACAUUGUUUAUUUACAGUCUAAAGCCAGCAGUAGAAUGCACAUUUACACUCAAAUGUUUAUCAUGAAAAUUAUUACAAAUUUUCAUAUAUUUAUCGGGCCACCUAAUGAAAUGUUAUAUUGCAAUUUUGUAUCUCUGUUCUUUCUGAUAUCCUUUUAAUAUGUUGUCUUCUAACUUGCCUUGACCUGAUUAAUUCCUCUUGCUAUUUAACAACAUUUAGCAACUAUUUGCAAUUUGUUUACGUGGUUUGUCCUUCCCCAGUGUAAAUAUCUUUAAUAAAUUUAGAAAUGUCUUUUGAGUAAUAUGAGAAAGUCCACAAAAUAUUGUUUUGUCUACAUUCAGCACUGUUGUUUUAGAAUGGGAAAUACCUGAGGAAAACAGAUAAAAAGGUUUGUGAGUGUGAAAUGAAGCUUUGCAGUCAUGAAACCGUUUCGAUGUUAAUAUUUACAAAAAAAAACUGCACUUAAAGGAAAUUGAUCUUUGAGUCAAAUGCAUAAAUCAUGUUUUAAGUGAGCAGAAAUAAUCCGUGUUGUAAUGGUGUAAUUAAAGCUGCAAUUUGCAAAUGAAACAUUCAGUCUGUAUCUCACUGCUUGAAACAAAAUAAAAUGAACUUUUAAUCAUA